rnacentral:rRNA from 1 species
UACGGAGGAUCCAAGCGUUAUCCGGAUUUAUUGGGUUUAAAGGGUGCGUAGGCGGGUCUUAAGUCAGGGGGUGAAAUCCUGGAGCUCAACUCCAGAACUGCCUUUGAUACUGAGGAUCUUUGAGUUCGGGAGAGGUGAGUGGAAUUCCGAGUGUAGAGGUGAAAUCGUAGAUAUUCGGAGGAACACCAGUGGCGAAGGCGACUUACUGGACACAUAUUUGACGCUGAGGUGCGAAAAGCGUGGGGAGCAAACAGG